GCUACACAUACUAAACAGCAGCAUGCACUUGUCAGUCUUUUAAGCUGGUCUACCAUUUUCGCACGUUUCGUUUGCUCUUCGACGCAAAGUCUACAGUAGUCCAGGUACACUUUAACGAGGCUCUUACUGACAAGAUUCAUUUGUCCUUGAGGUUUGAAUAGUCCUGACAGACUGUCAAUAAAGGAUGCUGCUCGUUCCUUAUUGGCUCGCUGUAGCUACCUUGGGUUCACAAGUUUCUUCCAAGAAUAUCCAUGAAUACCAACUUCGAGCAAAGCUGUUUACGAACUACAGCAAACAUGUCGCACCACAACCAAACAACAGUCCUGUCAAUGUGUCGUACAAUAUCGCCUUUGCUGGCCUCAAGA